UUCCUACUUCCUUAGUCUCGAAUUACUUAUCGCAGAAAUGGAUGUAUCUAUACGUAUUUUUAGUUCUAUAUACAUCCAUUUCUAUCCAUUUACGCGACGAGUGAUUCGGAACGGAGGGAGUGCAAC
rnacentral:pre_miRNA from 1 species